GAACGAACGCUGGCGGCAUGCCUAACACAUGCAAGUCGAACGAGACCUUCGGGUCUAGUGGCGCACGGGUGCGUAACGCGUGGGAAUCUGCCCUUUGCUUCGGAAUAACAGUUAGAAAUGACUGCUAAUACCGGAUGAUGUCUUCGGACCAAAGAUUUAUCGGCAAAGGAUGAGCCCGCGUAGGAUUAGGUAGUUGGUGGGGUAAAGGCCUACCAAGCCGACGAUCCUUAGCUGGUCUGAGAGGAUGAUCAGCCACACUGGGACUGAGACACGGCCCAGACUCCUACGGGAGGCAGCAGUGGGGAAUAUUGGACAAUGGGCGAAAGCCUGAUCCAGCAAUGCCGCGUGAGUGAUGAAGGCCUUCGGGUCGUAAAGCUCUUUUACCAGGGAUGAUAAUGACAGUACCUGGAGAAUAAGCUCCGGCUAACUCCGUG
rnacentral:rRNA from 1 species